CGUAGACUAAUUAAUUAAAUUUCGGUUUGAUAGCAGUACUUUAAACGUGAUAAUUGGCUAACCUGUCGGUGAUGAUGCCAAAGGUUUACGUUUGUAAUACAUUUUUAAAAAUCUGUGCUUUUUAAAGUUUUGACCCACGUUUUAGUUUCCUUUUUAAAUUGCCACUAAUAAAGCCAGCAUUUGUGUAUUUGGAGGGCGAUCAAGAUAACGAUUUUAAAUAGCCUUAUUAUAUCAUAAUUAUUAAAUAUCCCCUCGUGGCGAAUGUCUAGUCAAUUAAACUUUGACAUUUUGACAUUUUGACACUUUGACGUUUCCUGAUGUCAUUACUUUGCGACACCGUCAGCUUGCUGCUCUUGCCCAUGUGGACCAGAUGUGGACGCCUCUCCCUAUCCUGUGGUCAUACAAAGCAUCUGAGAUUUUCCUCGUGUCUAUCUUUUCACCAGUAUGACUCUGCAUUAGCUAUUUGUCCAGAGAGAAAGUAGGUGAAUGUUGAUUAUUUGUUUGGUACCUAUUCCCCCAAGAGGGGUGCCAGUGUCCUGAUGCUGACCAGUAGCACCGGUUCCGCCACUUGCUUCCCGCUGGAGUCUUAGCACCAACUGGAUGAGGGGACUCCUCUCCGUUUUGAAUUCCUGGCUCUCCAUGGCUUUGAAUUAAUAUGAUGUGGGGUCCUCAAAUGCUGCCAGAAC